CCAAUUCCAGGGGGGGUGUCCCCAAUUCAUGGGAAGGGUCCCCAAAUUCCUGGGGGUUCCUCAAUUCGUGGGAAGGGUCCCCAAAUUCCUGGGGGGGGUCCCCAAUUCCACGGGGGUGUCCCCAAUUCAUGGGAGUGUCCCAAAUU